rnacentral:rRNA from 1 species
UAUGGAAGUGUUAACUUAGUGGCGAACGGUGAGUAACGCGUGAGAAAACCUGCCUCUCAGUGGGGGACAACAGUUGGAAACGACUGCUAAUACCGCAUAACACUUUAGUACCGCAUGGUACAGAAGUCAAAGCUUUAUGUGCUGAGAGAUGGUCUCGCGUCUGAUUAGCUAGUUGGCGGGGUAACGGCCCACCAAGGCGACGAUCAGUAGCCGGUCUGAGAGGAUGAACGGCCACAUUGGGACUGAGAUACGGCCCAGACUCCUACGGGAGGCAGCAGUGGGGAAUAUUGGGCAAUGGGCGAAAGCCUGACCCAGCAACGCCGCGUGAAGGAAGAAGGCCUUCGGGUUGUAAACUUCUUUUAGCAGGGACGAAGGACGUGACGGUACCUGCAGAAAAAGCAACGGCUAACUACGUG